rnacentral:rRNA from 1 species
GGGUCAUUAGGUUGGUCGUGCCACCGGUACGUACUGGUCUCACUGGUUCCUCCUUCCUGAAGAACCGUAAUGCCAUGAAUUUGGUGUUGCGGGGAAACAGGACUGUUACUUUGAAAAAAUUAGAGUGUUUAAAGCAAGCUAACGCUUGAAUGCAUUAGCAUGGAAUAAUGAAAUAGGACGAUCGAUCCUAUUUUGUUGGUUUCUAGGAUUGACGUA